AUGCAAGUGGCUGAGAGGCACACUUACUGCCCCUUCAUGAUUCACCUCUGCACUCAUGUCAUGGGCACGCUCUUAAGAGCUGCUGGCGCCCCACAACUGACCAGGGUGGUGUACUGGAGCCAGGCCCUUUCUGCCUAAGCAGGACACUCAAAGAGGCAGUCUUUGCCCUGCAGCCCUCCACUGGCCCAGCCAACACUCUCUCAGAGCUUAGACAUCUGCUUCUCAGAGCACCCAAACUGACAGGGUGUAUCCAGUAUAUUUGAUUCUGAAGCUAGAGAGACCCAGCUGGCCAUACACAUUGGGGAAUCAUUGACAGAUGGCAGCUGAGAUCUGAGAGCGGUUGACCUCACUUCACAAGGUUGAGUGGAAUUAGGAGGGACAAACUUCUGUGACAGGAGCCUGAGGAGCACCAAACAGGAGAACCCAGCCCAUUUCACAGGAUGUUUAAUGUGUGCUCACAAAUAGAUUCCAUCAGCUCUCCUACGGCACCCAGGAGGUCAGCUGCCCCAUGGAGGAAGCAAGAUUUGUGUGCAUUAGAAAUAAAUGAACUGUUGGAGAUAGGAUCUUCUUUGUUGACAAAACAAGUCUUGAAGAUAAGAGAUCAAGGCUUCUAGUUAAAUGGAGCAGUGACCUUAUCAGAAAUCUCAAAGCAGAAAAGUCUGUCAGAAAAACAGCAUCAGAUCAAGGAAACCAAGUACAUGGAGCUAAUUUUUGACUCUAAAGAAAGGCAAGAUUAUUUAAUAAUAAUGAUAAUGGCACAGUUUGUUAACUAUGUGAAGAAAAUCAAAUAUAGCUUUAUCUCCAUUAUACAACCAAAUAUAUUCUACAUGGAUUAAAAUAUUAAAUGUAAAAGUUAAUCAAACCAAUAAGUCAAAAAAGAAAAAAAUAGAAAAAAUAUCCAUAAAAAUUUAUUGAAUUACAAAAUGGUCAUAAAAUAUAUUAGUUCAAAACAAUGGAAUAAUUCAUAAAGGAUGACUAUUAUAGAGAUUUUCCCGUAGAGAGUUCUAAAAUUUAUGUGACUCAAAAAAUGCCUUAUAUAAAACUAAUAUCAAAUAAAAAUUUUCAGAAAAUAUUUGCUUGCAUAAGGCAAAAGAGCUAAUAACCUUAAUGUAUAAAAGUUCCUUCAAACUAAGUACCAUCUCAGAAGAAAAAAAAUCUCAAAGUGGUAAUCAAAUAAUAAAAAUUGUAAUACCAGGUCUCGAUGACUUAGCUAGGUGUGGUGGUGCACACGCCUGUCGUCCCAGCUACUCGGGAGACUGAGGCAGAAGAAUCACUUGAACCCAGGAGGUGGAGUUUGCAGUGAGCCAAGAUCACGCCACUGCACUCCAGCCUGGGGACAGAGCGAGACUCUGUCAAAAAACAAAACAAAACAAAAUAAAACUUCCCUUAAUUCUGCAACAUUUCUGAUUAGACCAAGUAGCAUCAGGAAAGAUACAGAAGAACUUUCCCUCCUCCAACAGCUAAGUUCAACUAAAUUUCUGGACACUGUAUAUAUUUUAACCUCCCCCACCUAAAAUAAAAGAAAAAAAAGAGAAGACUUUGCAGUAUGGAGAAAAGGUAGACAAGCCAGGGACCUUGGUCUCAAAGAACAACAUGGUGGUGGGUUUCCUGGGUUUUCUUUUCCAUCAUAUAUCUCAGACUUGGAGAUGAAAAAUCAGCAAUCCAGAAACAACAUUGGAUGGAGAAAAAGCUGCAAUGAAAGAUUGCCAUCUCUAGCAAAGGAGCAGAAAAGGGGCAGACUAUCAAGGCAGAAAACUUUCAGGCUGUAACUGCUCUACUCCAACCACAUCCAGAAAACAAAACUAAACAAACAAACAAAAAAAACUUGUGGCCUCAUUUUCACUCAUGCUAACAAAGCCCAAGUGGGGAGUCUAAACUGCCACCCUCACAAAGCUGUAAAUAGGUGCCCGCAAUACCCCUACAGGAGUGGUGUCAGAGGACAUGGAAAAGGGAGCCAAAACUUUCAUUUCUGUUAGCCAGUAACAAGAGUCUACUGCAGUGUAAAUGGAGACCAUAUGGGGAACUUGGACUUUCAUGCUACCUGGCAGUGACGAGGCAGCCCUUCUUUCCCUGAUGGAAUGGCAUCAGAGGAUCCCAGUGGGAAGUGAGGACAUUCACUACCACUAAUUAGUAACAAGGCCACCACCACUAUGGUGUCAAUAGAGAUCACAUGGAGAGGCAGCACAAAUAUCUAUGCCCAGUAGUUAUUAAGACCUGCUUCUCUCAGCAGAGUCAGGUGUCAGUGGAGGAGAAGUGAAGGAUCUGGAAGUGAAUUCUACCUUCCAGUAGAAAGCUGUGUUGAGCCACUUUUCCCCCUUUCAAAGCAGUGCCUAAAAAAGCAGCUGGAGGAUAAAGUUUGAAUAAGAUCCAAAGACUCUUAACGUAAUAUGAAUGUGACCAGGUUUCAAUCAAAAAUUGCUUGUCAUACAAAUAACAAGGAAAAUUUCAAAAAGGAUAAAAAGUAAAUUCAUUAUAUGCCAAUAGUGAGAAGGCAGAGCUAUUAAAAUAAUCUGACAGAGAUUGUAGAGCAACUGUGGUAAAAAUACUUCAACAAUCAAAACAUGCUUGAAACAAAUUUAAAAAACAGAGUUUCAGCACAGAUAUAUAAGACACAAAGAAGAACCACUGGACAUUUUAGAACAGAAAAAUGUAAUAACUUAAGUGAAAGCUUAAUGGAUGAUAUCAACAGCAGAAUAGAAGAGACAGAAGAAGAAAACAGGUAGCUUUAAGAUAGAAGAAGAAAAAUCACAUAAUCUAAACAACAGAGAGGAUAAAGGAAAAGAAAAUGAACAGAGCCUCCAAGAUCUGUGGACUAUAACAAAAUAUCUAGCAAAGACCUGGAAGAAGAGAAAUAGAGUGGGUCUAAAAAUGUGCUCCAAGUACACAUGGUCACAAAGAUGAGAACAAUAGACACUGAGGACUACUUGGAGGGGGAGACUGGGAGGAGAGUGAGGGUCAUAAAACUACCGAUUGGGUAUCUUGCUCACUGCCUGGAUGAUGGAAUCAUUUGUACACCAAACCCCAGUACUACACUGCCCAUGUAACAAACCUGCACAUAUACACCCUGAAUCUAAAAUAAAAGUUGAAUAAAUACAUAAAUAUAUAAAAAAUAAAAAUGUACACCAAAAAAUAGCAUCUAAAAUCUACCAAUUUCAUUAGAGACAUAAACCUACAGAAUAUGAAUAAAUAUGAAUGAACCCUAAACAGGGUAAUCACAAAGAUAUUCACACCAAGUUCCCUUGUAAUUAAACAUCUGAGAACUAGAAACAAAGAAAAAAUUUUGAAAGCAAUCAGAGAAAAGACACUUGACCAAUACGAGAAAAGCAAUUAAAAUGACAGAUUUCUCAUCAGAAACCACAGAGGAGAGAUGGAAGUGGCACGAUAUUUUUCAGGUGUCAAAAGAAAAGAGCUCUCAACCUAGGCUGACAAUCCUCUACCCAGGAUGAAAUCCUAGUUUCACAAUUGCAUUAGUCCAUUCUCACAUUGCUAUAAAGAACUACCUGAGACUGGGUAAUUUAUGAAGAAAAGAGCUUUAAUUGGCUCAUAGUUCUGCAGGCUGUACAGGAGGUGUGACUCAGGAGGCCUCAGUAAACUUAGGAUCAAAGCAGAAGGCGAAGGGGAAGCAGACACAUCUUCAUAUGGCAGAACAGGAGAGAAAAAGAGUGAAGGGGAACGUGCCACACACUUUUAAACAACCAGAUCUUGUUAGAACUCUAUCACAAGACAGCACUGGGGGAUGGUGCGAAACCAUUGGAAACCACCCCCAUGAUUCAAUCACCUCCCACCAGGGCCCUCCUCCAACACUGCGGAUUACAAUUCAACAUGAGAUUUGGGUGGGAGACAGAAACAAACCAUAUCAACAAUCCUAUACCCUGAAUAUUCAAUCCUAUAACCAAAGUGAAAGGGAAAUCAUAAUAUUCUUAAGCUGAAGAAAAAGUAAGAUAAUUUACUAUCCUAUCCAAAAAGUAUACCUAAAGAAAGUUCUCUAAACAGAAGGAAAACAAAAGAAAGACACCAGGAAAGGAAGAAAACAGAAAAAAAUAAGAUAAAAGAUCUGCAGCUAUGGAAUUCUUCUCCAUGACAUUUUCACAGAACAUACUACUUGUGAUUUAUAUCAUGUCCUUACUCAAGGCCACAUCCUUCCAAGGAAAAGUGAAUGUGCUCAUUUCCAUGCUACUGAAAGCCUGUCAUUCCUCAGCACUCAUCCCCAUCAUCACCUCCAUCUCCUUGAUCAACAGCACGUAAUUUGUCCUCAUCCCCUACUGUUUAACCGAUAUGAUCUCAUGAAAAUCCACUACAACUCAAGGCCAGGAGAAUUCAGGCUCUGGCUUUCAGCCUCUUGCCCAGUGUAACCAUUAGUGGCGUUCCCACACCAAGGGCUAAUGUUGAUUACAUUACUACUAAAAUGUUCCCAAAUGGGAUGAAUCAGAAGUGGGAUAACCUCGACAUGAGAAUUUGCCUCCUGUUCUCGGAAGAAACACUGUCAUUGUCAUUGUCCAUAUUUUUAAUUCAAU
rnacentral:lncRNA from 1 species